UACGGAGGAUGCGAGCGUUAUCCGGAUUUAUUGGGUUUAAAGGGUGCGUAGGCUGAAUAUCAAGUCAGCGGUGAAACGUUACAGCUUAACUGUGACCGUGCCGUUGAAACUGUUAUUCUGGAGUGCGAGCGAGGUAGGCGGAAUGUGCCGUGUAGCGGUGAAAUGCAUAGAUAUGGCACAGAACUCCGAUUGCGAAGGCAGCUUACCAGUACGCUACUGACGCUGAGGCACGAAAGCGUGGGUAUCGAACAGGAUUAGAUACCCUGGUAGUCCACGCGGUAAACGAUGAUCACUAGCUGUUUGCGAUAUACAGUAAGCGGCCGAGCGAAAGCGUUAAGCGAUCCACCUGGGGAGUACGUUGGCAACAAUGAA
rnacentral:rRNA from 1 species